rnacentral:rRNA from 1 species
UACGGGGGAUGCAAGCGUUAUCCGGAAUCACUGGGCGUAAAGCGCCUGUAGGUUGUUUAUUAAGUCUGUUGUUAAAGACUAGGGCUCAACCCUGGAAAAGCAAUGGAAACUGUUAAACUUGAGUAUGGGAGGGGUAGAGGGAAUUUCUAGUGUAGCGGUGAAAUGCGUAGAUAUUAGAAGGAACACCGGCGGCGAAGGCGCUCUACUGGAACACUACUGACACUCAGAGGCGAAAGCUAGGGUAGCAAAAGGG